AGUCGACGCAGCGGGUAGGAAGCUUGCUUCUAUGCCGGCGAGUGGCGGACGGGUGAGGAACACAUCGGAAUCUACUCCGUCGUGGGGGAUAACGUAGGGAAACUUACGCUAAUACCGCAUACGACCUAAGGGUGAAAGUGGGGGACCGCAAGGCCUCACGCGAUGGAAUGAGCCGAUGUCCGAUUAGCUAGUUGGCGGGGUAAAAGCCCACCAAGGCGACGAUCGGUAGCUGGUCUGAGAGGAUGAUCAGCCACACUGGGACUGAGACACGGCCCAGACUCCUACGGGAGGCAGCAGUGGGGAAUAUUGGACAAUGGGCGAAAGCUGAUCCAGCCAUGCCGCGUGGGUAAAGAAGGCCUUCGGGUUGUAAAGCCCUUUUGUUGGGGAAGAAAUCCUGCUGGCUAAUACCCGGCGGGAUGACGGUACCAAAGGAAUAAGCACCGGCUAACUUCGUGCCAACAGCCGCGGUAAUACGAGGGUGCAAGCCUUACUCGGAAUUACUKG
rnacentral:rRNA from 1 species